UCGGGAAUUUUGGGCAAUGGGGGAAACCCUGAUGCAGCGACGCCGCGUGAGUGAUGAAGGCCUUCGGGUCGUAAAGCUCUGUCGUAUGGGACUAACAAAAUGAAGGUACCAUGCAAGAAAGGAUCGGCUAACUUCGUGCCAGCAGCCGCGGUAAGCGAGGGAUCCUAGCGUUGUUCGGAAUUAUUGGGCGUAAAGCGGGUGUAGGCGGACUUAUAAGUCAGGUGUGAAAUCCCAGGGCUCAACCCUGGAAGUGCACUUGAUACUGCAAGUCUUGAGUGUGGUAGAGGCUAUUAGAAUUCCUGGUGUAGUGGCGAAAUACGUAGAUAUCAGGAGGAACACCCGUGGCGAAGGCGGAUCUCUGGACCGGUUCUGACGCUGAGGAGCGAAAGCUAGGGGAGCAAACAGGAUUAGAUACCCAUGUAGUCCCUGAGCGGGC
rnacentral:rRNA from 1 species